GGUAGGAUGGCCAUCCUGGGGGGACAGAGGUCAUUCAGAGCCUGGUGGGGUGACCAUCCUGGGGGCACAGAGGUCACUCAGAGCCUGGCGGGGUGGGUGCCCUGGGGGUCUGGGACCCAGCCUGCUGGAGACAGACUAGAUGCUCCUGGUCCCGCUCCUGUCUCCCAUAUCACAUCCCUGACCCACAGUCGGGACACAGGGACCCACUCAUGAUGGCCACCGGCCCAGGGGUCCCACUGGGGACGUGGGACCAGGAGCCUCUCUCUCGACCCGUGUGGGGUGCAAGUAAGGCCGAUGCAAGUCUGUGUCCCCACAGGUUUAAGGCAUCAGCUGGACAACCAGAUGCCAGCAGUACUGGGGCCGCUGCCUCUGGGAAGGCCCCCAGGGGGCUCGGAGUUGUGUCCA